AUACGGAAGGUCCGGGCGUUAUCCGGAUUUAUUGGGUUUAAAGGGAGCGCAGGCGGAGAUGCAAGCGUGACGUCAAAUUUCGGGGCUCAACCCCGUCUCGCGUCGCGAACUGCGUCCCUUGGUUGCGGGAAGGGGAGGCGGAACUCGUGGUGUAGCGGUGAAAUGCAUAGAUAUCACGAAGAACUCCGAUCGCGAAGGCAGCCUUCCGGCCCGUCAACGACGCUCAUGCUCGAAGGUGCGGGUAUCAAACAGGAUUAGAUACCCUGGUAGUCCGCACAGUAAACGAUGGACACCCGCGGUUUAGCCUGUAUGGCUGAGCCGCCAAGCGAAAGCGUUAAGUGUCCCACCUGGGGAGUACGCCGGCAACGGUGAAACUCAAA
rnacentral:rRNA from 1 species